UCUGAGAUGCAGGAGGCAGAGCUUAGAAGCCAAGCAGUGGUGUUUAGUAAAUUAAGGCGCACAGUCCGGUAGGAUUGGGGUGGCGUCUAACAGCACAUCAUGGUAAAGAUGAGAACUACUGUCUGGAAGCCUGAGGUCACCAUCUUUUGCAGCUACAGUUCCUGAAGCAGGCAAGGAAUACUGCAAGCUCAGCCUCUUCCUGGCUCAUAUUGCCGAGGCACAGUCUGCGCUUCAGAGCUACGUAUCUGUUAUGUACUAAGCUUG